rnacentral:lncRNA from 1 species
UCGUUACUAUAGCUCCGUCUUGCACUGAUCAUUGACUCGUGCAUUUGUUAAACUCAACCUAUCUUAAUCUAACCCAUUUCAAUCCAUCUAAAGUUGGACAGAUUUUUAACCCAAAUUGACCCAAGAAUAACUUUACUUAAAAAACUUUAAAAUAAUUAUUUUUUGUUUGAUAAGUUAUAUAUGACCAAACGAAAAAAGGCCUUAUUUAAUAAUAUAAUAAUUCAUAAAAAAAUAGUACACAUUAAUUAAAAUUUAAAAACAAUUAGGCGGAUUGAACUAUGACCAGAAAUAUAGUCUAACUUGAACACCAACGAAACAACAAAAUGAGCACAAAACCAAUAGAAAUAUUGGUAAAAGAUAGUGGGGUGUUUUGCACCCAAUUACUCAUCUUCUCCUUUGUAGUGGAUAUCACUGGAUGCUGAGGAAUUCUUUCGUAUAACCAUUCAAACGAUGUCUUUACAAAUUUGCAAGAAUUGGUGUUGCUUUUUUCACAAUUUCCUUUGCAUUUUCCACCAUAUUUUCUGGUUUUAUCUCCUUCAACUUCUCCAUUGUAGCUUUUCUUAUGCUUUCUACGUUCAAUUUAUCCAUUGAUGCACUAUCUGCUGAUAUAUUGCUUUCUCUAGUUGUGUCCCUCUGUGUGUGGCUGGUUCUUAU